CACAUUUGGAGUUUCAAUAUUUCUUGGAAAAGAGAUUUGAAUCUUCAGAUCUUCCCAGUAUCAGGUCAGGAAAGAGACCUGAGAAGAAAAUCCCUUCUGCAUGAAGAACAGUGUUGGUGUUCCUUCUGCCUUUCCUCAACCCACAGAAACCAAGAUGAGCUUUUGCCAGGCAUCAUUCUGCAGAUCUUAAUUUUUUUGAAUGAAAGAAUAAUCUAUCAGCAGUUCAGCACAACACUUUAGGUGAGAUAUUGUCUAAAAUGGGAGGCUGAAAAUUUUUGGUUACUUUAACAUGAUGCUGCUCUUCACUGCUGUGGCACAGAAAAUAUUGAAAUGCUUUUCUUUUUCUAUUUUUUUUUUUUUUCUGGC
rnacentral:lncRNA from 1 species